rnacentral:rRNA from 1 species
GAUGAACGCUGGCGGCGUGCCUAAUACAUGCAAGUCGAGCGAACAGACGAGGAGCUUGCUCCUCUGACGUUAGCGGCGGACGGGUGAGUAACACGUGGAUAACCUACCUAUAAGACUGGGAUAACUUCGGGAAACCGGAGCUAAUACCGGAUAAUAUAUUGAACCGCAUGGUUCAAUAGUGAAAGACGGUUUUGCUGUCACUUAUAGAUGGAUCCGCGCCGCAUUAGCUAGUUGGUAAGGUAACGGCUUACCAAGGCAACGAUGCGUAGCCGACCUGAGAGAGUGAUCGGCCACACUGGAACUGAGACACGGUCCAGACUCCUACGGGAGGCAGCAGUAGGGAAUCUUCCGCAAUGGGCGAAAGCUUGACGGAGCAACGCGGCGUGAGUGAUGAAGGUCUUCGGAUCGUAAAACUCUGUUAUUAGGGAAGAACAAAUGUGUAAGUAACUAUGCACGUCUUGACGGUACCUAAUCAGAAAGCCACGGCUAACUACGUG